rnacentral:rRNA from 1 species
CCUACGGGAGGCAGCAGUGGGGAAUAUUGCACAAUGGGGGAAACCCUGAUGCAGCAACGCCGCGUGAGGGAAGAAGGAAUGCGGGAUGGAAAGCUCUAUCAGCAGGGAAGAAGAUGACGGUACCUGAGUAAGAAGCCACGGCUAACUACGUGCCAGCAGCCGCGGUAAGACGUAGGGGGCAAGAGUUAUCCGGAUUUACUGGGUGUAAAGGGAGCGUAGACGGUGAGACAAGUCUGAAGUGAAAGCCCGGGGCUCAACCCCGGGACUGCUUUGGAAACUGCCUGACUGGAGUGCUGGAGAGGCAAGCGGACUUCCUGGUGUAGCGGUCAACUGCGUAGAUAUUAG